rnacentral:rRNA from 1 species
GAUGAACGCUGGCGGCGUGCCUAAUACAUGCAAGUCGAGCGAACAGAUAAGGAGCUUGCUCCUUUGACGUUAGCGGCGGACGGGUGAGUAACACGUGGAUAACCUACCUAUAAGACUGGGAUAACUUCGGGAAACCGGAGCUAAUACCGGAUAACAUAUUGAACCGCAUGGUUCAAUAGUGAAAGGCGGCUUUGCUGUCACUUAUAGAUGGAUCCGCGCCGUAUUAGCUAGUUGGUAAGGUAACGGCUCACCAAGGCAACGAUACGUAGCCGACCUGAGAGGGUGAUCGGCCACACUGGAACUGAGACACGGUCCAGACUCCUACGGGAGGCAGCAGUAGGGAAUCUUCUGCAAUGGGCGAAAGCCUGACGGAGCAACGCCGCGUGAGUGAUGAAGGUCUUCGGAUCGUAAAACUCUGUUAUCAGGGAAGAACAAAUGUGUAAGUAACUGUGCACAUCUUGACGGUACCUGAUCAGAAAGCCACGGCUAACUACGUG